rnacentral:lncRNA from 1 species
GACGCGCGGCCGGUGCGUGGAUGAUGAUGAACGAUAUAGCGUACGGUUGCUGAUCCGUGCGCGCGUUUGAUCGCCGCCGCGCCCGCCGCGCGAGCAAGUCGACGACGUUUACCACCUGUUUGUGCUAUCCGACCGAGUGCGUGUUUAGACUUUUGUUGCGAACUAGUUGUCCUAGUAGUACUCUAGCAGUAUGUUUCCGUGGUCGAAGUCGGGAGAGGGUCUGGAUGCUGGAUGUACUAUGGUGUGUUCUUGUGGAUGUCUGCCCGUUUAUGAUGAAUAAAUUGCCAAGUUUGGGCGAAGUGUGCAACUGUUCUUGUGGAUGUCUCUUAUCGCUUCUGAAAUGCAGCUUGCAGAAGAGACUAGGAGUGGGCACGAUCUGAACCCAGGGGCAUCUCUUGUGUUUCUCUACAUAUAUGACUAAAAUUAAAAUUAACUUACUACGAACUUACCAAGUGACUAUGGUACAAGCAUUGAUCCCCUAUGCAAGCAUACGGUUAAUUUGUUAACAAGAGAUCUGAUGUCCAAGAGAUGGACAAUAAUGUAGUGCAACAUAGUGUUUUUAUGAAACGUUUGAAGUGAACAAACAAAGCAAUGUUUUUCCUUCUUUUCUUUUCCAUGAAGGAAAUGCUUGUCGAUGUUUCUAGUGGCUAUAUCGCCUUCGGGGUGAUGCUGUUUCAGGGAAUGACUGGAUAUUCUGUUGUUCUGUUCCGUUAUGAUUUACGGACGCGCGGUUUGUAGAUGGGGAGAUUGUUCAAAGAUCUCAAGUCUUCCCUCAAAAAAUUAAUAUCUUAGUCUCUUUUUUCUUUCCCUUUUUGAAAGGAAGAUCUCUAGUCUAGAAAGGAAAACAAAGGUGUUCCAGGCGAUGACUGAAUGCUCUGCCGCUCUGUUCUGAUGUGAUACACACACAAGCGGUUUGUUGUGAUUUACGAACUCUGCUGCUCUGUUCUGUUGUGAUAUACGUAGACACGCACGAGCGGUUUGUUGUGAUUCACAGACGAGGGCUUUGUGGAUGGGGAAAUUGUUCAAAGAUAUCUCUUGUCAAGGAGAUUGCUCAAAGAUCUCUAGAAAAGGAAGACGAAAGUGGAGCCUGUGACACAAAUAGCAAAAGAUGGGCCAAAUUUAGAGCAAAUGCACCUUAAUUUUCUUCUCUUUCUAGUUCAAGGCUCUAUAAUAUUGAGGCUUAAUUAUCUCUAAUUAAGCUCUCAUGUUUUAUAGUAAGUAAAAUAGAGAAAAAAAUGUACACAACAUAUAUGGCAAUAAAGUAUCUUAUAUUUUUUAAAUAUAUAUCAAGAUUAUUUAAUAUAACUAUAUGAUAUCGAGCUAAUAGCGAGCGAGCAGUGGCUCAACUCGUUUCUCCGUCGAGCUACUUAAAGUGGUCAUAUUAAGCUCAUUUCUUUUAGUUGGCUCAACUCGUUUCUCCGUCGAGCUACUUAAAGUGCUCAUAUUAAGCUCAUUUCUUUUCGAGUCGAUCUGGGGUCAAGCCAAAAAACGAGUUCUUUUCGUGUCGAUCUUGGGUCAAAUCAAUAUACGAGUUGAUCUCGAGCGGCUCAAGCAAGCCAAAAUACGAGUUAAUCUCGAGCGGCUUAUGAACCUCGAGCUUUUCUUGCAGCCCUACUUGUGUCAACGGUUCGGUGCUCAAUAGUGCAUGUGGGCUCUUCUUUGUAGUCAUGACUUGGGAUGUUAUGGUGAUCUUGCUGGCGUGGUGCUUCGAGGAGCCGUCAGCGUCGAUUUGAUUGUGUCCAUGGUCGAGUUGGUGUGGUUGCCCUGGUCUAGAUAUGCCUUGAUGGCGGUGAUCCAGAUUUGGUCGGUGUCAGAGUAUUUUUCGACAGAUCUUGAUAGGUUAUCGCUUGACGAGUAGAUCGGAUGGCAACAUGUACAAAGGUUCAGGCCCUCGGUAGACGAGAUAAUACUCUAAUCCCGUUGCUCGUGUAUAAUGAUUGUACACGGGUUGCAAAAGGUCGAGGGAUUGAGCAAAGCUCUAAGGUUUUUGUCUCCAUUCGACUAGCCUAGCCCCGACUUAUAUGGAUUUCAGGGACUAGGGUUACAAGACCUAAGUCGGUAAGGAGUCCUCGAGAUGUCGGUUUCCUUAUCUUGUAAUCCAAGCCUUCCAUACACAUAUGUUAUAAGGCCAUGGGUCGGUUUGAUUGUCCCGUGAUAUAAUUGACCUUAGGGCCCAGAACGGCCCCAAGGUUAGGCACCCUUUGUUUUGUAACACCGUCAGUCGGCUUGGUGGUGGUGGUGUUGUAGAAUGGGGUGCAACGACCUUUUGCGGCGGCCUUGCUCGGCCCCGACACCCUCACAAGGCUAGGAGCGUUGCGUGGGUUUAGAACUGCGUCUCUAGAUCCAGGCAUGGUGGGCCCUAGGUUGACGGGUUUGGAGAGAGCUCUCUCUAACAAGGUGGCAUUCGGUGGAGGCGUACUCUACCGUCGGUGCUUGGUCCGUGUGGGCGUGUGACCACUCUAUCUUAUGGUGGCACCCUCGCUGCACAUUGUUGCGGCCACCGAAAGGUCUUCAUGAGGGUUUCUCUCUUCGAUGUAGUGGUGACAUUCUGACAACCCACAAGUAUAGGGCUUCGUUUGUAGUCUUUUUCGAUAAGUAAGAGUGUCGAACCCAACAAUGAGCUAAAGGUAGAAUUAAUAUUCUCUCAAGUUCUAUCGACCACCGAUACAACUCCACGCACACCAACAUUUACUUCACCUAAAACAAGAAAUAAAACUAGUCUGCAAGAAAAAAAUAGAAAUACUUUACAAGAUAAUAAAAGUUAGUUGUUUGAUAGAGAGUUUUUGGAGAACAAUGAGAAGGAUUGUCCAUAGGCAAUUGAAUAUAACACGUGGGAUAACUAUCAUAUGCAUCAGGGAGAGGCGUAAGCUAACACACUUUUCGUACUUGGAUCACUUGCACUUAUGACUGGAACUCUAGCAAGCAUCCGCAACUACUAAAAACAUUAAAGUAAAACCCAAUCACAACAUUAAGUGUAAAGUCCCCUUUAAUCUCAUACGCAACAACCCACUUACUCGGGUUUAACCUUCUGUUACUCGCAACCCACUAUAAGCGAAUCAUGAACAUAUUGCAAUACCCUAAAGCGGGAAUUCCCACACGUGUGUGUGGAACGGAGGGCACCAUAGAACAACAACAUACUAACAUACAACUUAUAUCAAUCACACCAUACCAUAAUUAACCCCUAGGACAAAAGGGUCUACUCAAAAAUCAUAGAGGUGCAACACAUCAUUGGAUAAAUAUGUAUAGCAUAAAUCACCAUGUUCAAGUAGAGAUUACAAUGCGAAAAGAGAUGUUACACCGCUACAUGGGGGGAGGGGUUGUUGUUGACGGUGACGAAAUUGUUCAUGUAGAUCGUCGUUAGGAUGGUUCCCCCGCCAGCGCUCCGGCGGCACCGAUAGAGAGGGGGGAGAGAGCCUUCCUCCUUCUUCUUCUUCUUCUUGCUUGGCCUUCCCCUAUAUGGGAGAAGGAUUUCCUUCUCCGUUCCUCCGCCUCCCCGGCCCCCGAGCGGCGGGAUCCCCUCCACAUUGGAUCUCUCUCUCUCUCUUUUCUUCUCUGUUUCGCGUCUCUAUUUUCUGGCCGAACACCGUUUCUUAAAUAUCAGGAGAUCCGCAACUCCGAUCGGGCUGAAAUUUUAACACGAUUUUUCCAGAUAUUAGAUUCCUUGCGCCCGAAGGACAUCCCCAACCAACCUCCGAGGAAGCCACAAGUUCUCCUGGCGCGCCCUAGGGGAGGUUCCCCUUGAUCUUGUGAAGCCCAUCGGCCCACCUGGCAUUGAAUCUGAAGGAAAUAUGCCCUAGAGGCAAUAAUAAUGUUGUUAUUUAUAUUUCCUUAUAUCAUGAUAAAUGUUUAUUAUUCAUGCUAGAAUUGUAUUAACCGGAAACUUAGUACAUGUGUGAAUACAUAGACAAAUAGAGAGUCCCUAGUAUGCCUCUACUUGACUAGCUCGUUAAUCAAAGAUGGUUAAGUUUCCUAGCCAUAGACAUGUGUUGUCAUUUGAUGAACGGGAUCACAUCAUUAGAGAAUGAUGUGAUGGACAAGAUCCAUCCUUUAGCUUAGCACUAUGAUCGUUUAGUUUAUUGCUAUGUCUUUCUUCAUGACUUAUACAUGUUUCUAUGACUAUGAGAUUAUGCAACUCCCGAAUACCGAAGGAACACUUAGUGUGCU